UUGGACCGUCGCAAGACGAACUACAGCGAAAGCAUUUGCCAAGCAUGUUUUCAUUAAUCAAGAACGAAAGUCAGGAGGUUCGAAGACGAUCAGAUACCGUCGUAGUUCUGACCAUAAACGAUGCCAACCGUCGAUCCGCCGGAGUUGCUUCAAUGACUCGGCGGGCAGCCUCCGGGAAACCAAAGUUUUUGGGUUCCGGGGGGAGUAUGGUUGCAAAGCUGAAAACUUAAAGGAAUAG
rnacentral:rRNA from 1 species